GCCCUUUGCGCAGCCCUAACCAUGCAAGUCGAGCGGCAGCGGAAGUAGCUUGCUACUUUGCCGGCGAGCGGCGGACGGGUGAGUAAUGUCUGGGAAACUGCCUGAUGGAGGGGGAUAACUACUGGAAACGGUAGCUAAUACCGCAUAACGUCGCAAGACCAAAGAGGGGGACCUUCGGGCCUCUUGCCAUCAGAUGUGCCCAGAUGGGAUUAGCUAGUAGGUGGGGUAACGGCUCACCUAGGCGACGAUCCCUAGCUGGUCUGAGAGGAUGACCAGCCACACUGGAACUGAGACACGGUCCAGACUCCUACGGGAGGCAGCAGUGGGGAAUAUUGCACAAUGGGCGCAAGCCUGAUGCAGCCAUGCCGCGUGUAUGAAGAAGGCCUUCGGGUUGUAAAGUACUUUCAGCGGGGAGGAAGGUGUUGAGGUUAAUAACCUCAGCAAUUGACGUUACCCGCAGAAGAAGCACCGGCUAACUCCGUGCCAGCAGCCGCGGUAAUACGGAGGGUGCAAGCGUUAAUCGGAAUUACUGGGCGUAAAGCGCACGCAGGCGGUCUGUCAAGUCAGAUGUGAAAUCCCCGGGCUCAACCUGGGAACUGCAUUCGAAACUGGCAGGCUAGAGUCUUGUAGAGGGGGGUAGAAUUCCAGGUGUAGCGGUGAAAUGCGUAGAGAUCUGGAGGAAUACCGGUGGCGAAGGCGGCCCCCUGGACAAAGACUGACGCUCAUGUGCGAAAGCGUGGGGAGCAAACAGGAUUAGAUACUCUGGUAGUCCACGCCGUAAACGAUGUCGACUUGGAGGUUGUGCCCUUGAGGCGUGGCUUCCGGAGCUAACGCGUUAAGUCGACCGCCUGGGGAGUACGGCCGCAAGGUUAAAACUCAUAUGAAUUGACGGGGGCCCGCACAAGCGGUGGAGCAUGUGGUUUUAUUUCGAUGCAACGCGAAGAACCUUACCUACUCUUGACAUCCAGAGAACUUUCCAGAGAUGGAUUGGUGCCUUCGAGAACUCUGAGACAGGUGCUGCAUGCUGUCGUCAGCUCGUGUGUGAAUGUUGGUUAGUCCCGCAACGAGCGCACCCUUAUCUUUUGUUGCAGCGUCCGGCGGGAACUCAAAGGAACUGCAGUGAUAACCUGAGAGGUGGGAUGACGUCAAGUCUCAUGGCUUACGAGAGGCUACCACGGUCUCACAUGGCGCCUA
rnacentral:rRNA from 1 species